GGCUCCGAGGGGACCGGCGACGAGAGGUCGCGGCGCGGGGUCGGAGGUCAGAGGCUGAGGUCACCACCGUACCCGUCAGGCCGUGGCUAGAGAGGGGUCGGGGCUCGCCGGGACUCACCGACAGCUCGCUGGAAACGAGGCAUGUGGAAAUUGGGCCUCGCUGAGGCGCACAUAAGGCCCGGGCCGCGGGUAGACCGUGGGCGCUGAGGCCCUGCGCUGCCCAGCCCCCAAGUUCGCAUUGGGGGCUUCAUCCCGUUAUAUCCUAAAGCGGCCCCAGAGCCCUGCCUCGAACCCACUCACCUGCCGCCUCUGAAAGCCACUCACUUUCCGCCGCUGCCCUUCGAUCGACUUUCCUACCCGCCGUGGACCCUCCUUGGGUUAUUUCGAGCUGUGGGGACCCACUGGGAACCCCAGAGUGGAUGUGAAGGUUAUUUUAAACUGAAGGCAUUUGAGACCCAACAGAUGUAAAAAGCAGCUUUGUCAGAGCUUUCCAUAUCUGAGAGCGAAGCCCGAAGUUGAACCAGGACAUUCAGUACCUAAAACAUGUGAAAUCUCUUGGGCCCCCGGAAUCACUAAGGAAAACUCAGGCUGGAAGCUGCUCAGGGCAAACCUGCCUCCCGCUCUAUUCAGAGUCACCCUCUGCUCGCUGAGAUAGAUGGAUAUCUGACUGACUCCUUUGAAAAGGCUCAUCAGAAGGCUGGGCGCGGUGGCGCACAUUGAGACCAGGAGUUCGAGACCAGCCUGGCCAACACGGUGAAACCCUGUCUCUACUGAAAAUACAAAAUUAGCCAGGUGUGGUGGUGCGCCCCUGUAGUCCCAGCUACUCGGGAGGCUGAGGCAGGAGAAUCGCUUGAACCUGGGAGGCGGAGGUUGCAGUGAGCCGAGAUCAAGCCAUUGUACUCCAGCCUGGCGACAGAGCAAGACUGAUCAAAAAGGAAAAGAAAAAAAAAAAAGGCUAAUCAGAAACUCAAAACAAUGUAACCGUUUGUGUAUCACCUAUCUGUGACCAGGAAGCUCCCUCCCCGAUGGCUUUUGCUUUAAAUUGUCCCGCCUUUCCAGACUGAACCAAUUUUUUUUUUUGAGACGGAGUCGCUUUCUGACCCAGGCUGGAGUGCGGUGGCGUGAUCUCGGCUCACUGCAACCUCCAUCUCCCAGGUUCAAGCGAUUCUCCUCCCUCAGCUUCCCAAAUAACUGGGAUUACAGGCACCCACCAACACACCCAGCUAAUUUUAGUAUUUUUAGUAGAGAUGGGGGUUUCACCAUGUUGGCCAGGCUGGUCUCGAACUCCUGACAUCAGGUGAUCCGCUGGCCUCCCAAAGUGCUGGGAUUACAGGCGUGAGCCACCGCAGCUAGCCGCUAUGUUCAUCUUACAUAUAUUGAUUGAUGUCUCAUGUCUCCCUAAAAUGUAUAAAACCAAGCUGUGCCCCAACCACCUCAGGCACAUGUUGUCAGGACCUCCUGAGGCUGUGCCAUGGGCAUGUCCUCAACCUUGGCAAAAUAAACCUUCUAAAUUAACUGAGACCUGUCUCAGAUUUUCUGCAUUCACAGAUAGAACAGCCUUGGUGGUCUUCAGAGGUGGCCAGAUGUCCCUGGUGGACUGCAAGGUUGGGUGCACACUAAGGAAAGACAGGCGAGGGCCCCAGCUGUCCACCGCCCUGGCUGAACGUGAGGCUUUGUACAAGCAAAAAGUAAAAGCCAAGUCCAAAUUGUAAAAACUACCUGAAUUCCAAAUGCAGCCACAACCCACACACAGCGCCAUCAGCAGAGGCUGGAGGCCCUACUGGUUCAGAAUAUUUAAGCACAGUAUCGAACCAGUAAUUGUAAAAGGUAAAAGAUUUUUUUUUUAAGACAGAGUCUCGCUCUGUCACCCAGGCUGGAGGGCGGUGGCACGAUCUCUGCUCACUGCAAGCUCCACCUCCCAGGUUCAAGCGAUUCUCCUGCCUCAGCCUCCCGAGUAGCUGGG
rnacentral:lncRNA from 10 species